UGCUCACCCUGUUCCGCACUUCUUUUCGCCUAUUUCUCCUCCCCCUCUCUUUUCCCCCUUUUAAAUUUCUGAAAUCAAAACCCUAAUCUCGAUUCCUAACCGUAUCGAGAUCGCCCAAUAGAUGUUGGCCACUUUGAGCUCUAUGAUGCCUGAGCUAUUUGCUGCCAAACUGUAACUGCGGCGGCCUUAGUACCAAACACACAGUAAGAUGGAUGGGGGCAAUGAAUGCUUCGCGAUGCACGUUAUUGCUCAUUAAUAUGGGAUUUGAGUUCGAUCAAGCUACAAAAGCAGUGGAAGCUGUUGGUCCAUCUGUUGAGGAUGCAGUGGAAUUCAUCUUGAACGGUUCUUGUGAUGGCAAUACUGUUAAUAACAGCGGGGUUUCAAGUCUUAAUUGUUCCACAAGCCAAAUGCACCCUUUGAGAGAGCAAGUUUCACCGUUGUUUUCUUCAUGUAGGGCGAGACAGCCGAGCAUUACUGAGCAUAUUUCAUCAUCUGGUAAAAGAGAAAGGAGCAAUCUUUGUAGUUCUUAUAAUGCUCGUUCAAAUGAUAGAUUUGCGUCCAUAUUUGGGUUAUCUUUGUGGGAUUCAGAUGCUUAUGUGGACCGCACAGAGUUGAAGGCGCCAUCAUUGGAUAUUGGCACUGUUCAUUCUCAAGAAAUUUCACGGUUUUGUAGUUCACCGAGUCAGGAGAUUGAUUUGGGAAAUUGGGAACAGAAGGCUUGUGGCAUUUUACGGAAGCAUUUUGGGUUCUCAUCCUUGAAGAGUUUCCAGAAGGAAGCUAUGGAAGCUUGGUUAGCACGCAGAGAUUGCCUUGUUCUUGCUGCUACAGGAUCUGGAAAAUCUCUCUGCUUCCAGAUUCCAGCAUUAUUGACCGGAAAGGUUGUAGUCGUGAUUUCUCCCUUGAUAAGUUUGAUGCGCGACCAGUGUCUGAAGCUAGCAAAACAUGGGAUAUCUGCAUGUUUCCUUGGAUCUGGACAACCUGACCACACUGUCGAGUGCAAAGCUAUGAGUGGCAUGUAUCAGAUAAUUUAUGUUUGUCCUGAGACAGUAUUAAGACUUAUAGAACCACUUACGGGACUCGCAGAGAGUCAUGGGAUUGCACUUUUUGCUAUCGACGAGGCUCAUUGUGUGUCAAAUUGGGGCCAUGACUUUCGGCCUGAUUACAGGCAAUUGGCCAUACUCAGAGAAAACUUUAGCUGUUGCAAUUUAGAAUUCUUGAAGUUUGACAUCCCAUUGAUGGCCCUGACAGCUACAGCGACAAUUCCAGUUCGUGAAGACAUUAUCAAGUCUCUGCACAUGUCAAAGGAAACAAAAACUGUCUUGACAUCUUUCUUUCGACCGAACCUUCGAUUUUCAGUGAAACAUAGUCAAACAACUUCGCCAUCAUCAUAUGACAAGGAUUUUCGCGAACUAGUAGAAAGUUAUGCAAUACCGAGGGGGAGGAAGAGAAAAAGACCAACUAAGAUAUUAAAUUAUGUGGAGGAUGGUUUUCGCACCCUUGAUAGCUCUCCUGAUGAUAGCUCUUCUGAUGCAGAUGAAGCAUUGGUGUCGGAUUCUAGUAACAGCUCUUCUGAUGAUAGCUCUUCUGAUGAUAGUUCUUCUAAUGCAUCUGAUGGUAAUUCUUCUGAUGAUGAUAAUUCUUCUGAUGCAUCUGAUUCUUCUGAUGCAUCUGAUGAUAGCUCUUCUGAUGCGGAUGAAGCAUUGGUAUCAGAUUCUAGUGAUUGUGAAGGUGAACAUAGUGAGGGAGAUGAUGUCGACAUAGGUAUGGCGAAUAAGAGUUCUCCUUUACCUUUUAAGGAUUAUCGAUUAAUAGCUGAAUAUUUGUAUUUGGAAGACGAAGUCGACGAUCAUCAAUGUGUGGAUGACUUAGAUGUUUCUUGUGGUGAAUUCCUUGGAAAUCUUCUACUUGAGAGUUCAGUGAUUCAUGAGGCGUCUGAUAUGUCUGAUCCGCAAGAGACUUUGCACCAAGACCCCACGAUUGUUUAUGUUCCUACUAGAAAAGAAACAACAAAAAUAGCUGAAUAUCUGUCCAGAGCUGGAGUUAGCGCUGCAGCAUAUCAUUCAAAGCUGCCAAAAGCACAUCUGAGGCAGGUUCAUCAGGAGUUCCUUCAAAACUCAUUGCAGGUUGUUGUUGCAACAUGUGCUUUUGGGAUGGGGAUUGACAAGUCAAAUGUUCGAAGAAUUAUUCAUUAUGGUUGGCCACAGGUGGGUACUGUGGAUCAGAGUCUGGAAGCAUAUUAUCAAGAAGCAGGGAGAGCUGGAAGAGAUGGGAAGCUAGCAGAUUGUACUUUAUAUGCCAACUUGUCGAGAGUACCAACACUUCUCCCUAGUCAAAGAAGCGAAGAGCAAACCAAACGGGCAUAUAAAAUGCUUUCUGACUGCUAUCGGUAUGGUAUGAAUACUGCAGCUUGCCGAGCUAAAACACUUGUGAAAUAUUUCGGAGAGGAGUUUAGCUAUGAUAAGUGUAAAUUAUGUGAUGUGUGCAUUAGUGGACCUCCCAAAAUGCAAAAUCUAAUAGAAGAAGCUGCUACUUUCAUGCAUAUUCUGAAAGUUCAAUCUGGAAAUAGAAGUUUCGGGCAUGUAUUUCGCAAUGGUGCAAUUUUCGGUGAAUCUAGCAUAAGGAGGCCCUAUGAGAGAGCCAACUUCAAGAUGCUUGUCAGUAAAAUAAGAGGGCAGGAGUUCUCUACAAGUGAUUUGUUGUGGUGGCGCGGUCUUGCACGGAUAUUACAAGAUAAGGGGUUUAUCAGGGAAGGAGAUGAAUUGGCGCGAGUUGCGAUUAAUUACCCAGAGCUUACAGAGUUGGGACUGAAGUUUUUGAACUCCAAGUCUGAACAACUUCUGUAUGUAUGUCCUGAAGCAGACAUGCUGCUUUCUGCUAGAAAGUCAAAGCCAUAUUCUUCUUUCGCCAAAGGGGGAAGAGAUUGGGCUAGUCCUGAUAUAAGGUGCCGGUGUCUCCAAGGACGAAAAGGAAGACCGAGGAAGAAGCCAAAACCUCGGAAGCAGAGAGCAGAUACAAGCACAGGAAGAGGAAGGUUGUCAGUAAAAGUACCUAGAAGAAAAUUGUAGUCAUCGAGUUUUCUUGGUGAUACAAUUACAGAGAUACAUUCAUUAUGGAUCCGGGACUGAUACAUGGCGACGUUUUGUACCUUUAGGCAGAUCAUUGUUCACACCAUAUUGGCUUAGGACAGCCUGUACCAGAUAUCAUCAUGCUCGAUCAUUCACAGAGUCAUUCGAGUUAGGUCAUUGAGGAUGAGAGGGUACUAGACUUGAUAGCUCAAGUCGGGUUCCGGGAGUGUUCAGCAGUGAGGUAUAUUAGGCUUGAAUGGUCCCUUAUUAGUGCACUGAUUGAGAGGUGGAGGCCAGAGACCAACACCUUUCAUAUGCAUAUAGGGGAGUGUACUAUUACAUUGCAGUACGUAGCCGUCAUACUUUGGCUCUGCAUCGAUGGCCCGGCAGUUACGGGCACUGGUGAUCAUAAUUGGGCUGAAGUAUGUGAUAGGCUUCUUGGUCAGGUUUCCGACUUGAGAAGUGAUGCGAUGAAGCUAUCGUGGCUUCGUACGACAUUUAUGGGAGAUAUACCAACUGAUGCCACGGUUGAGACGCUUCGGUAUCAUGCUCGUGCAUAUAUAUCACACAUGAUAGAGUGCAUGCUAUUUCCUGAUGCGAGCAAAAAUCUUGUACAUGCACGAUGAUUGCCACUCCUAAAGGAUUUUGAUGCAUGUGGCAGUCUAUCAUGGGGUAGUGCAGUGUUGGCAUACUUAUAUAGAGAACUAGGUAGGAUCUCCUUGAUGUAGAAUAAAGAAUUCAAUGGAUGCUACACAUUGAUACAGAUUUGAUUAUGGGAACGCAUUCAUAUUGGACGACCUAUUUUGUUUGUACACCGCGACCUUCAGGGCCAGUUUCCUUUGGCAUACAGGUAUAAUGUGCGGUACGCUAAGUACAAAUCAGCGACGCGACAUAUAGAGUUUUACCGAAAUGAGCUUGAUAGCCUCCAACACCAACAGUUCAAGUGGAGCCCCUAUUCACCGCCAGAGCUCGAUAUGCAUACUAUUGCACCUAUCUGUUGAGAUAGCGUUGUUUUGUGGAGAGCCAGAGUUCUAUUGAUAUGUUGGGAGAUUGUGGAGAUGCAUGUCCCCAGCCGUGUGGUAUGGCAAUUUCUACGCUCUCAGCAUGUGCCGGAUCCUGUCGAGCAAAUCGAUCGUAGGCGAUGACCUACAUCGCAUCGUACAGACUAGGGCGUAUUCCGUGCAGCCUACAUAGAUAGGUAGAUUAAUAGGAGAAAUUUCAUACAAGAUGAGAGAUAUACAAAUGUUGAUUAUACCACGUAUAUGUGUUGGUAUUGGGAUAUCACACGUAGAUGGAUCACACGCGACCCACAGCCAUCAGGUAGAUACUUGUCACGCCCACCGACAGAUGGUUACAUCCCUAGUUCCAUGCUCGAGAGAGAUUAUAUCAAAGCUUUUGAUGAUAUUGAAGGAGAUAUAGAUGAGCACAUCAGUGACAUCCAGGAUCCGAUGGUCGUAGGGCUCUUCAACAGGAUCAAACAGAGAAUAGCAAACGUGUUUCAUAAGACUCAUGUCGACGAGUUUGCAGGUGAGGACAUGUCUCGAUCAUUUGGGAAAAUGUACACGCGACAACGUAGGUCAAGUGAUGAUGGAGCCGACACUUCUCAUAGUAUGAUGCAUGCUGAUGGAGUCGAUACUUUUCAGCCUCAUACACAACUAGAUACUUAGAUCAUCGAGGCUAAUCAGCACGAACGCAGAGGGCGGAGAAGGGGGGAAGAGUGAGG